rnacentral:misc_RNA from 1 species
GAAAUAAAAGUCGUAACAAGGUCUCCGUUGGUGAACCAGCGGAGGGAUCAUUACAGAGUUGCAAAACUCCCAAACCAUUGUGAACGUUACCUAUCCCGUUGCUUCGGCGGGCGGCCCGGGCCCCGCGCCCGGCGCCCCCCGGCCCCCCGUGGGCGCCCGCCGGAGGUAAACCAAACCCUUGAAUUGCAUGGCCUCUCUGAGUCUUCUGUACUGAAUAAGUCAAAACUUUCAACAACGGAUCUCUUGGUUCUG